UUCUUUUUUUUCUUAUUCUUUCAUUAUUCUCAUUUUACUUUUUAUAUUUUCUUUUUCUUCAUGCUUUUUCUUUUUUGCCUUUAGUCUUUUUAUUUCCUUGAUUUUUGAUUUCUUCUCUUUUGUCUUCUUAUUCUUUGUUCUCCCCUUUUACUUCUGAUUUAUCUUUUUCUUUUCUUCUCAUUCAUUUUUUUUCCCUUUUCUUUAUAUUUUUCUCAUUUUCUUCUUCACUUCUUCACCAUCUGGCCCCACCUGCACUAGAAAUCCUUGUGG
rnacentral:lncRNA from 1 species